rnacentral:rRNA from 1 species
AUUGAACGCUGGCGGCAGGCCUAACACAUGCAAGUCGAGCGAGCGGCGGACGGGUGAGUAAUGUCUGGGAAACUGCCUGAUGGAGGGGGAUAACUACUGGAAACGGUAGCUAAUACCGCAUACCAUCAGAUGUGCCCAGGUGGGAUUAGCUAGUAGGUGGGGUACCGGCUCACCUAGGCGACGAUCCCUAGCUGGUCUGCGAGGAUGACCAGCCACACUGGAACUGAGUCACGGUCCAGACUCCUACGGGAGGCAGCAGUGGGGAAUAUUGCACAAUGGGCGCGAGCCUGAUGCAGCCAGGCCGGGUGUGUGAAGAAGGACUUCGGGUUGUAAAGCACUUUCAGCGGGGAGGAGUUACCAGCAGAAGAAGCACCGGCUAACUCAGUGCCAGCAGCCGCGGUAAUU